GCUCGAGCCCGAGACUCCCGCAGCUACCACUGCAAAUCGCGCAUCCGGCAGCGCGCCGCGUGGCGUCAUCCUUGGGCGAACGCUAGCACUCGGGCAGUUCGCAUGCCGACGAAGAGGCCGCCUGGAGCGAGCCCAAUGAGGGCUCUGGGUUCCUAUCAAUGUCUUCAUCGUUCCCAGAUAUUUGAUUGCUGAACUGAACGUAGCAGCAUGAGCAAAUGGGAGAGGGAGCAGUUCAUGUUCGGCGCUACUGUGAGAGGACAAGAAAAAUCUUUUAUGGGACAAUUGCAAUCUGUGGAGAGAAGUGCACCAUUAACCAUCAGCUUUAACCUACACUGUUCUAGGAAGAACGGUGGCUGCUGUUGAGGAGGCAACGCAGAGGAGGUGGAGUAGGCCGGCCCCUUCUCCUCAAUCGAGGAUGCGAUGGUGCCCUCCCGGGAUCAGCAGAAUGUGUGAUGCACCCCAGUCCCCAGCCCCGCGCGCCCAAACCUCUCGGGAUCAGCAGGGAUAGAGGCAACAACCAGAACGCCACAACCUCGAUCUUCGCGAUGGUGGCAGCGACGACCAACGAUCCAUCUUGGCACAGCGAUUGUCGACUCACCUCGGCUUAUCAAGGAAGAAGCUACAUGCCGGUUUCUAGCUCUAUUGUUUCUGAAAGUCAGGCUGCAAGAUGCGAAGUCAUGUGAGUGAUGCAAGAGAUACUGGACCCAUUUGAAUGGAAAGGUCAAUUGUUUUGUCACGUAGCUGGACAGAAAGUCUAGGCAUAGCAUGGUCAUACCAGAGAGCUUUUUGAACUAUUUUGUAUGGAAGUUGUCAAGAACCAUCAAACUAGAAGCCCAUGAUGAUAAUGUAUACGAUGUCGGAAUCACUGAGCUUAGAAACAAAACAAUACUCAGAUCUGGAUGGGAGGCAUUUGUCGAUGCCCAAUCAUAUAGCAGAGAAAGACUCGUUGAUGUUCCGAUACUGUGGAAGUGCUCGCUUCAAGGUCUUGUUCUUUGAUUCCAGUGGUUGUGAGAAAGUGGUGUUCUGUGCUCGCAUACAGAGCAAUAGUGGUGAGCAAGAACCAAGCACAUAUUCUUAGGACGUGGAGGAUCAGAUGGAUGCCAGAGUGGAAGCUCUAUCUAUUGAAGAAAACGAGCAAAGAAAGAUGCACUUUCUCCAUCCAGGAGAAGACAGUCCUCAUGAGCGUGACUCUGAUGAGUCGGAUGAACACACAAUCCAUUAGCUUUUUCUCAAAAUAGGAGUGUAUAGCCUAAUUAUCUUAAAAAAUACCCCAUCAUUAGCUUUCUUCUCAAGAUACAUUUGUUCUAAUAGAUAAUUGAAUAUUGUUGUUUGUGCAUGUUCCAUGAAAAUAAGCGAACGUAAAAUUUUCGAACCUAUUAUCUGAAGUACUUGCUCACCUAGACCAUCCGUAAUUUGAUAAUAAACAUUAUCUGGUUUCAUGCUCCAUGAUGCAUUUCAUACUAGAAAGCCUAUUUCACUUUGCCUGUAGCUUGCUUCACAUACUUGAUGUAAGAUAUCAUAGCAGAGUGCAUCUUACAUUUUGAUGUCUUAAAAGGCGUAUCAUCGCAAUGGUAAACUUUGUUGCAUCAUACUAGAAGAAUGACACCAUCGAGUUUCAAAAGAUCUUAAAGGUCAGUGUUCUUUAACAUAUGUUUUUCGCUUGACUGCAGCAAUCCUAAACCCUUCAUUUAUUUGUUCACUGAUUCUUCUAGAAUUGUUGCAACCAUUCUUAUUAAAUCUUACAAACAGAGGUGUUAACUAUCACACAACAUGUUUGGCGCAUGCCAUAAACUUAUGUGGUACCGGGGAAUGCUUCU